GAUGAACGCUGGCGGCGUGCUUAACACAUGCAAGUCGAACGGGAAACCUUUUAUUGAAGCUUCGGCAGAUUUAGAUUGUUUCUAGUGGCGGACGGGUGAGUAACGCGUGGGUAACCUGCCUUAUACAGGGGGAUAACAGUCAGAAAUGACUGCUAAUACCGCAUAAGCGCACAGAGCUGCAUGGCUCGGUGUGAAAAACUCCGGUGGUAUAAGAUGGACCCGCGUUGGAUUAGCUAGUUGGUGAGGUAACGGCCCACCAAGGCAACGAUCCAUAGCCGGCCUGAGAGGGUGAACGGCCACAUUGGGACUGAGACACGGCCCAGACUCCUACGGGAGGCAGCAGUGGGGAAUAUUGCACAAUGGGGGAAACCCUGAUGCAGCGACGCCGCGUGAAGGAAGAAGUAUCUCGGUAUGUAAACUUCUAUCAGCAGGGAAGAAAAUGACGGUACCUGACUAAGAAGCCCCGGC
rnacentral:rRNA from 1 species